rnacentral:rRNA from 1 species
UACGUAGGGUGCGAGCGUUUGUCCGGAAUUAUUGGGCGUAAAGAGCUCGUAGGCGGUUUGUCGCGUCGACUGUGAAAACCCGAGGCUUAACCUCGGGCCUGCAGUCGAUACGGGCAGACUAGAGUUCGGUAGGGGAGACUGGAAUUCCUGGUGUAGCGGUGAAAUGCGCAGAUAUCAGGAGGAACACCGAUGGCGAAGGCAGGUCUCUGGGCCACUACUGACGCUGAGAAGCGAAAGCAUGGGGGAGCGAACAGG